GAUGAAGAAAGUAGCGAAAUGCGAUAAGUGGUGUGAAUUGCAGAAUUCCGUGAAUCAUCGAAUCUUUGAACGCACAUUGCGCCUUCUGGUAUUCCGGAAGGCAUGCCUGUUCGAGAGUCAUUAACAACCGUUUCGAUCCCUUUCUUUCAGAAAUUACAAAGAGGAAAAGGGUUUGGUUAUGGUGGAGGAGGGAAAGGGAGCGUUUAGCCUGUAAAAAAAGAGGCUGUGUUCCGCCUCCCCCCCAAAAUUGUACAGGUGGUCGUGUGCGCCCACGCAUCGAGGUGUUGUAAAAGCUGCCACGACACUUUUCACCUGUGCAGUGCGAGAUUGGCCAGCCGGUUUAAAAACCCCUCCAAACAAUCAAAGGUUGACCUCGGAUCAGGUAGGGAUACCCGCUGAACUUAAGCAUAUCAAUAAGCGGAGGA
rnacentral:misc_RNA from 1 species